rnacentral:rRNA from 1 species
GACGAACGCUGGCGGCGUGCUUAACACAUGCAAGUCGAACGGAAAGGCCCUGCUUUUGUGGGGUGCUCGAGUGGCGAUCGGGUGAGUAGCACGUGAGUAACCUGCCCUUGACUUUGGGAUAACUUCAGGAAACUGGGGCUAAUACCGGAUAGGAGCUCCUGCUGCAUGGUGGGGGUUGGAAAGUUUCGGCGGUUGGGGAUGGACUCGCGGCUUAUCAGCUUGUUGGUGGGGUAGUGGCUUACCAAGGCUUUGACGGGUAGCCGGCCUGAGAGGGUGACCGGCCACAUUGGGACUGAGAUACGGCCCAGACUCCUACGGGAGGCAGCAGUGGGGAAUAUUGCACAAUGGGCGGAAGCCUGAUGCAGCAACGCCGCGUGCGGGAUGACGGCCUUCGGGUUGUAAACCGCUUUCGCCUGUGACGAAGCGUGAGUGACGGUAAUGGGUAAAGAAGCACCGGCUAACUACGUG